GCAUCGUGGAAGUUUAUAUGAAUGCUUUGCCUAGGCUUUUGACAUACUAUGGAGCCUGAUUUUUGGUGAGUUUGGAUUGUUUCUGAAGAUGAAUGGACCAUUGUUUUGCAGGGUUAUGCCUGCUGGCUAGAUCAUGGAGCAAUGAAUCUUAAUCAGGUUAAAAGCAAACCCAAAUAACAGAAGCAGAAACUCAUUACUCUGGCUAUGUAGCACCACGACUAGCCUUAUAACAUGGGUACAGUAUUUUCAUAUGUGCCUUGAUGAUGACACACACACGUCCGACUUACUAAUGUGUACCAGAGCCUGUAAAGGUGAACCCACUGGUCCUGUUAGUAGGAAGAGAAGGAUGUACUGUUCCAGCUGGAACUGUCUGAAAGGGCAAUUCACAUCUUGAAAAGGCACAUGUCAGGUAUAAAAGCCAGCCUAUCAAGAAUGGCGUGCUCAAUGCCAGGGCAGUAGCCUGCAAAAGCAAAACUGAGCCAGGCAUCACAGCAAAGAUGGCUACAACUCCUGGUAACUGGAUUAGAGAAGGUGUUUGAAGGUACUAUGAAGACAUCAUGGCGAUAAAGGUGUUGUGUCAGUAAUACUUGAUCAGUGAAUGUCUGAAGAGCUCAUACAUCCAGGAAUGAUGCACUUUUAAAGGAAGAAAGUGCUCUAUGGCUUUUUGACACUUGAGCCUUUGCCUGUGUAAACCUUUGACAUGAAAGUUCAUUGUGUUGAACAGCUCUUUGAAGGGAUCGCAUCACUCUGUGCCUGAAAAGGAGAAUUCCUCUUCAAAAUGCUGCAAGAUGACUUGGUUUGAUAGUGGGAAGACACUUUGCUUUUGCAAAUAAAUCUUAUUUCUUGCCUGUGC